UACGAAGGGGGCUAGCGUUGCUCGGAUUGACUGGGCGUAAAGGGCGCGUAGGCGGUUCGUACAGUCAGACGUGAAAUUCCUGGGCUCAACCUGGGGGCUGCGUUUGAUACGUGCGGACUUGAGUGCGGAAGAGGGUCGUGGAAUUCCCAGUGUAGAGGUGAAAUGCAUAGAGAUGUGGAGGAACACCGAUGGCGAAGGCGGCGAUCUGGGAAGAUACUGACGCUGAGGUGCGAAAGCGUGGGGAGCAAACAGG
rnacentral:rRNA from 1 species